rnacentral:rRNA from 1 species
UACGAAGGGGGCAAGCGUUGUUCGGAAUUACUGGGCGUAAAGGGCGCGUAGGCGGCUUAUCAAGUCAGGCGUGAAAUUCCCGGGCUCAACCUGGGGGCUGCGCUUGAUACUGAUGAGCUUGAAUGCGGGAGAGGAUAGUGGAAUUCCCAGUGUAGAGGUGAAAUUCGUAGAUAUUGGGAAGAACACCGGUGGCGAAGGCGGCUAUCUGGCCCGUAAUUGACGCUGAGGCGCGAAAGCGUGGGGAGCGAACAGG